AUUGAACGCUGGCGGCAGGCCUAACACAUGCAAGUCGAACGAGUGGCGGACGGGUGAGUAAUGUAUGGGAAACUGCCCGAUGGAGGGGGAUAACUACUGGAAACGGUAGCUAAUACCGCAUACCAUUAGCUGUGCCCAUAUGGGAUUAGCUUGUUGGUUGGGUAACGGCUCACCAAGGCGACGAUCCCUAGCUGGUCUGAGAGGAUGACCAGCCACACUGGAAGUGAAGAACGGACCAGACUCCUACGGGAGGCAGCAGUGGGGAAUAUUGCACAAUGGGCGCAAGCCUGAUGCAGCCAUGCCGCGUGUAUGAAGAAGGCCUUCGGGUUGUAAAGUACUUUCAGCGGAGAGGCGUUACCCGCAGAAUAAGCACCGGCUAACUCCGUGCCAGCAGCCGCGGUAAUUC
rnacentral:rRNA from 1 species